rnacentral:lncRNA from 1 species
AGAUAGGUGUUGCUGAGUGACUGGACAGAUUUCUUCUGCUUUCAGUCUCUUUUCAUGGGUCCUUCAGAAUGAGUUUUGGAAAGGAGAAAAACAAAAAGAGACCAGAAGGAACUGAGAAGCUCAAAGCAUCAAAGGACACAGCAAUAUGAGAGGCCAACAACUGAUAUACAAGCCACACCGAGAAGAUUGCCAUUUGCAAGAGAGCUAUUAAUGAAAGUCACACACCUGAAGCUCUAAAAGCAGCCCAGGGAAUGGGGAAAAUUCCCUGUCUCCAAAACAGGAGAUGAAGCCACUGUGAAGCCAAUAGCAAAAAAGUGAUCAGGCCAGAAAUCCUGCUGACUCAGGAAAUUCUAUUCUGCCGUUAGACGAAGCUAAAUAUCAGAGCACCUACUCUGCCGUAUAUUCUUAAUAGGGUUCCUGUACUUAGCUAUGUAACAGCCUAUGGGGUUUAACUCAUUCGCUAAAGAAACAUAUUGAAUGAGGACCCUGGGCCAAAGCACCACAUAUAGUCGUCCAUCGGUAAAGUGGGGCAUAAGUGGGGAUUGGUCAUAGAUUUGGGGAUUCAAAGGUGCUCAAAUCUCUUAUACAAAGUGAUGUAAUGAGUAAGAAGGAACUAAGCGCACACAUUCUCUGAGCACCUGCCACGCGCAAACACAGUGCUAAAUGCUUCCACAUGUAUUAUCUUUUUAAAAUGACUUUUUUUUUUAGAUAAGAUCUUGCUCUGUCACCCAGACUGGAAUGCAGUGAUGUGAUCACAACUCACUGCAGCCUUGACCUCCUAGGCUCAAGCAAUCCUCCCUCCUCAGUCUUCCAGGUAGCUGGGACUACAGGCUCGCACCAUCACAUCUGGCUAAAUUUUUUCUUUUUUGUAGAGGUGGGGUCUCACUAUGUUGCCCAGGCCCGUAGACUUUAUUUAUUAGAGUAGUUCUAGGUUCACAGUAAAAUUAAGCUGAAGGUGAGGAAAUUUUCGAUACACCUCCUGCCCCCAACACAUGCACAGUUUCCCCCAUUAUUAUCAACCCCCACCAGAGCGGUACAUUUGUUGCAGUCAAUGCACCUACACUGACACACUGAUCUUAUUUAGACCUUAGUUCCAGCGUCUCUGGAAGAGUGGCAGUUUUCUCAUUGGCUGACCCUAUUGCCUGGUCUCGCUGCUCGGUGCAAAGGCCUUUAGAAAUUCUCUGCUUUGACUGACUGGCUAACAAGUGGAGAUUUGUACCCGAAGCA